AAACAUAAAAUACGACAUGACAUAACAUUUAAACCACCCUUAUCUCACCAUAUACAUAUCAUUGCAAAUAAAAGAGUUUAAGUAAUAAAGUCCACCUCAAAAGUUUAGUAGUUUCCUUAACAAACUUCUCGAUCCGACUUUAACGAGCGUGCAAACCACCUUUUUGAGAAAAUUAAAGUACACAUCAAUCUCAAGAAAGGAAACAUUUAGAAUGCAUGCACCUUAAUUAAAGUCUUUUAUCUCGUUUCUCGGUUUUCAUGCGUUUUCGAUUAUUCGGCGGCCGCCCAAGGCGUCGCGGGCGACCAUGGUCGGCCGCUUACACCAAUACUCCCUCCGUUGACUCCUCGUAUUUUUCUCCACGACAUCGAAAUAAAUUUCCAAAAUUUUACAAACGCAUAAUUAAACCAUCGAAAGUAUUUCCCCUUACAUUUUUUUCGAAACUUGGGGUAAAUUAUUUGUACAUCGAAUUAUUCCGAGAAUUAAUUAAAUAAUUCCCCAUGAUUAAAUUAUCGGUCCAAAACUUAAUUAUUUCCCCACCUUAUAUCUCUAAAAAAAAGAAGCCCAAUACUAAAAAAACAAAGGCCCAGCUUUGGUUUUAAAUCAAAAGCCCAAUGCAUCAAUUUCUUUCCCAUUCCCCCAUUCUCGGUUCUCUCCCUCUCUCCCUCUCUCCCUCUUCUCCAUCUCUCUUUUCUUUCUCUCUCUCUGUUCAACCAAGAUCGACCCCGUAAACCCCCAAUUCCAGCUCCCGCCUCAUCGAUCCUCACGCCGGCGACUCCUGCUCAUCGGGAUUGCACGGUGUUGUUGUCACCGUGCGUGUUCGCCCCUCCGUCGCUGGGAGCCGCUGCUCCGUCGUUCUCGCUCCGAUUCAGACAGCAGCGGGCCAGCCGUGCGUCACGGUCAACCGCUGCUGCUGCCUUCGUGGUGCGCUGCUGCCCGGUUGGCGGGGCAGCCCCAGUCCACCAUUCCUCUCGACUUCCCAUCGACAGCCGUUCGGCAGCCACCGAAACAACUCCGAACAGCCCCGAAGAUGGAAAAUGGAAGAUCAUGGAAGAUGGAAGAUCAAGAGUUGGCCGUAGGGAAGAGGGAAGAAUUGGGCUCAAAAUCUAUCUCCCAUAUUUUAUUUAUUUGUUGAAGUUCGUAGGCCCAAAAUGAUUUAUUUUGUUGUAAAUAAAUCAUGCUUAAAGCCAAAUUGUAAAAUAAAACAGUGGACUUUCUUUAUAUUUAUUUGGAUCGGCCCAAGUUCUUAUU